UUUCGCAUGCUUUUGUACUUUAGUAGCGCGUUGCUGUUGAGUAGCUGUUUCUUUAAACGUAACCGGUGUUUUUGUGGCCUGUGUGUGUGUGUGACAUGAUUGGCGUGUUAACGGUAGUCCAUCGUCGAUUUCGCCGCAGUGCUUUGCGCUACAUGUCGACAACUACGUCGCCGAAUGCUGACAGUCCUACGCGUGCGACUUUCUGCCUGCUCGACUAUGAUGCCGUUGGGUUUGACUUGGACAACACACUGGCACGUUACAGGUUGCCGGCUCUGUUCGAGCUGAUCCACCAGAGUGUCCGCGAUUACCUCUCCACGAACGGGAGGAGACCGACCGGCAGGCUGUGGCCCAGUGCGCGCGCAUUCUCGCAAAGAGGUCUGCUGCUGGACAAAAAGCGGGGCCUCUUGGUCAAGUUCGAUGCCAGCGGGAGAGUAGACCGCGCCUUGAAGGGAUUCACACGCCUUUCGCACGACGAGGUGGAGCAAUUGGAAAAGGAGUACAGCGGGCUUACGUUCCAGAGUGACCUGCGACCGUCCAAUGAGUGGUACAAUUUUGCCGACUACUUCACUGUGCCCACUGAAACCCUGUACGCUGAUAUGGUCGCACGUGCCGAGCCAGAGGCCUCCCUGGAGCCUCUCUGGCAUGACCUUCUGGCGGGAAUCGUCCACUUCUAUCGACCGCAAGGACCCCGUGCUACAACCUUACUUCGGACUCCUGACCAGCUUGUCCGCCCGUGCCCUCAGUCUGUGAGAGAUUGGAUACGGAGUCUGCGUGAUACUGGCACCCGUACUUUUCUUCUGACUGGCUCAGAACCAUUGCUUGCAUUUGCCAUUGCAAGUCACGCCUUAGGAGCUCAGUGGCGUGAUCUAUUUGACGUGGUGGUUGUGGGUGCCAACAAACCUGAUUUCUUCACAGAUGCAUCUAUUCCUUUUCAGGUUAUUGAAGAUGAUGGUUCACAAAGGCCUCUCGGUGUUGAUGAACAGCUGGGUGCAGACUUUGUGUAUUGUGGUGGGAACUGGACAACAUUGUGUGAACGCUGGCUUGACCGUCGGCGAGCGCUCUAUGUUGGUGACUCGUUGGUGGACGACAUUGUUGCUUCACAAGGCUGCUGCGACAGUGUUGCUGUACUUGAAGAGCUGGCUGUUGAAGCUGCAGCAUCAGAGCCUGCAGCGCACGAUGGAAUAGACUAUCUUCUGUCCAAUGUGUGGGGCUCAGUAUUCGCAUCACCUCAAGGUCCAAGCUAUCUGACAAAGGCCCUUUGUGAGUCAGCAAAGCUGGCAGUGCCAGAUGUUGUACAGCUCUCCAAGCUCUCACAAAGGAUUCCAGCAUUUGAUGGAACUGUGGGCCUUUCUGGAUUCUAUCCAAGGCCACCAAAACCUUUGGUUUCUGUGCUUACACAAUCUUCUGCGGCAGGCAGUACUGAGUGAAUUGAAAAGUGCUGUUUCCGAUGUGACGGCAUAUCACUUUCUGAGAUUUGUAAUGUAAGAUUAGACCGGAAAAUGCAAUAUGCAAGCAUACUUUGAUGACAACUAAAACAGCCUGAAUCACGCACGGACAUAAAGGCAAACACAGUGUACAGAAAGGUGCCGGUGUGUUGCGUGUUUUUUUUCUGUGUGUAUAUACCAUAACAUACACACUAACAAACUCCCCCCCCCAAAAAAAAAAAAACAAUAUGGAUUGACAUAUAGAACAUCAGCAGGAAAUGGAUUCUAAAAAUAGAAAUAACAGUGGAAGAGACAAACAUAGAUGAGCUUUUAAGUAGCCAUCAUAUCUUUGGACAUUAACAACGCCUUCGGAAGUGUAGAAUCAAACGGUAUUUUAGCUGAACUAAACAAGUUUAAAAAGCACCAUACAUUGUUGAAAUAAAUAGACAUUUGCUUUAAUAAACGAAGCAUAACAUAUGACCUAUAUUCUAAAGAUACAUAAUUUAAAUUAAUUGAAGCAGCACCACAAGGUCCAACAUUAAAGGGACUGUCUAGCGCUCGGAAAAAUUUUUCUGAUUGUGGUGGAUUGAGAAGAUCGUUCGCCACAUCGGCGGCAACGAGCAUGCUUUUGGCCCAUAAAAAAAGGAAUUAUAUAUUUAAAGUGAUGGUGAGAAUCGUGAAAGAAUGACCACUAGCGUCACCCAACAGCGAUGUGGUCAGUGUACCGGUAGGACAGGAAAUCCUGCAGACUCAUUUUGCUUAAAAACAAACAUGUAUAACUUGAAGUUGUAUUUUACGCACCUGAGGCAGCUUUCGGUUGCGUCUGAAAGUAAUUUUUUGCUUUUCUUUUCUCACGCAUCUACAACCGGUGACGCUGCUGGCGGCGCCGUCUUCGAUUUCGUCUGCUUCAACUCAUGCGCUAUGCCAUGCGUCCCUCCACGCUGGUCGUACUGUGCCGCUGUAUUGGUGUUAGGAUGU
rnacentral:misc_RNA from 1 species